rnacentral:rRNA from 1 species
AGGACGAACGCUGGCGGCGUGCUUAACACAUGCAAGUCGAACGGUGAACCACCUUCGGGUGGGGAUCAGUGGCGAACGGGUGAGUAACACGUGGGCAACCUGCCCCUGACUCCGGAAUAACCUCGGGAAACCGAAGCUAAUACCGGAUACGACCUCGAGUGGCAUCACUCCUGGUGGAAAGUUUUUCGGUCAGGGAUGGGCCCGCGGCCUAUCAGCUUGUUGGUGGGGUAACGGCCUACCAAGGCGACUACGGGUAGCCGG